GGAGGUCUGCACUCUUCGAGUGCUUUUCUAGAAAAGCAAAUCUUUAUCAUAUCUUUUUUUUAUUUGUUUUUAAACAGCAGAAAAGUCUUGGAUCAAAGGUUCAUGUGUGAGAGUGUUGGUCACUCAUUUGUAAUCAGAGUCAGAUAUUUCGUUAAUAUGUUUUGAAACAGCUUCUUAAGAAUUUCAGUGUUGUAUUGUCAGCAGCUCCACCCAGUUGGUGAGGUGAACGAUACAAAUUUUUGAUAACCUAACGUUCUUAAGAAACUGUUUCCUGUUUGAGUUUGAGCUAAGGAGCAAACUUCAAAGCAGUCCUUUUCUGACUCACCUUCUUCUAAAUCUGUUGUCUAUGCUUCAAGUAUAUUAGUCAAUAAUUCUCCAAAUUUACCUUCACACUGUCUGCAUGGUAGACACCUGACUGUUACUUUCUAGGCAGUUCUGAGUAGAAGUUUCUAAAGCGGAUAGAGGAGAAAAGGUCUGGACUUCAGGCAGACCAGUUCAACACCUGCACUCUUCUUCUAUGAAUCCAUGUUGUUGUAGUAAAUUCAUUGUGUGCUUUCAUUCUGUCUUGCUGAAAUAUACAAGGUCUUCUCUGAAAUAGAUGUUGUGUGGAUUCUCUAAAACCUGUAUAUACUCAUAAGCACUGAUGGUGUUUUCCAGAUGUACAAGCUGCAGAUUCCUCAGACACUAAUGUACCCCCAUACCAUCAAAGAUGCAGCUUUUGGAGUGAACACUGACACCAGGCUGGACGGUCCUUCUACUCUAUCAUUUGGACGACAGUGAGAUGGCAGCACUCCCCAUCACACAUGGCGGCCCCGGCCCGGUGAUUCCAGGAUACGGUCCCAUUGAGGAGGCCACAGAGGGAUUUGUGAUUCUUUGUCAUCAGCUCAAGACCAGAGCCCAGGCAAAAGCACACAAGGUUUUUGAUGACUUUGCGGCAAUUUCUUACCGGGCUCAGAUUGUAGCUGGAAAAAACUUCAUAUUCAAGGUAAAUUCUUGUUGGAGGAGAAAACUACAUCCACGCGAAGGUCUUCUGGGCACUGCCCUGCUAUGGAGGAGGAGUGGUGCUGGUUGAUGUACAGGAGAACAAGACUAAAACUGACUCCAUCGAACCUUUCUAAUGUGGCCACAGUAAACUCAUCAACACCUCUGGGUUUGAAUACAGAGUGUUUUGCUUCUUUCACAUCAAUAAAAUAAAUAAUUCUUAAAAUCAGCAUAUUAAUCAGAUUAAAACAUGGCUGUGGGUAUGUGGUGUUGAGACCUUCAUAUUUUACCUCUCAGAUUAAAACACAUUUCAAUGAAACAUCAAA